rnacentral:rRNA from 1 species
UACGUAGGUGGCAAGCGUUGUUCGGGAUUAUUGGGCGUAAAGGGCGCGUAGGCGGUUUGUUAAGUCGGUUGUGAAAGCCCGGGGCUCAACCCCGGAGGGUCGACCGAUACUGGCAGGCUAGAGUACAGAAGAGGUAGCUGGAAUUCCCGGUGUAGCGGUGAAAUGCGAAGAUAUCGGGAGGAACACCAGAGGCGAAGGCGGGCUACUGGGCUGAUACUGACGCUGAUGCGCGAAAGCCAGGGGAGCAAACGGG